CCAGUAGUCAUAUGCUUGUCUCAAAGAUUAAGCCAUGCAUGUCUAAGUCCAAGCUGUGUUCACACGGCGAGACCGCGGACGGCUCAUUAAAUCAGUCGUGGUCCAAAUGGGCCAGUGCAAAUCCUACUUGGAUAACUGUGGUAAUUCCAGAGCUAAUACAUGCAACUGAUAUCCCGAAGGCGGUGUUGGGGCUUGCUUGCCUUGCGCUGCGCUGCUCUGACGGAUGCUUUUAUUAGACCAAGCCGCUGAGGACUUGAGGGUUCGCGCUCUCUUGUUUGACUCGUGUGAUGGUGACUCUGGAUAACCAAAUUCUGACAAGCGCACGUACUUCUCUUCUGAGCGAGACGGCGCUGCCACUUUCGAGUGUCUGCCUUAUCAGCUAUCAACCGUUCGUUAUGCGCGACCGAUGGCUUUGACGGGUAACGGGGAAUCAGGGUUCGAUUCCGGAGAGGCAGCCUGAGAGACGGCUACCACGUCCAAGGACGGCAGCAGGCACGCAAAUUACCCAAUCCCAGCAAAUGGGGGAGGUAGUGACGAAAUCUAACGAUGCGGGCGCCCUUUCUGGGGCCCCGCAAUCGGAAUGGGCACUUUCUAAACAACCUGUUGAGAACCUACUGAAGG
rnacentral:rRNA from 1 species